AAAAGAUCCAUAGAUGAAGAAGACGAGGAAAAAAAAAAACCCUCAGAAAAUACCGCCAUGGUUUGCUGGCCGGCUAAACCCAGCAGUCGACAAGACCUCGCGCUCUGCCACAGCGUCUUCGUGUUUGAACAUCACAUGGCUGUAGCGCGAGUCCUCUCUCUCCCCCGUUUUCGCCACGGGUUGCGAGCAUGUCUUCAUAUUGAUAGGGAAUUCUACCCUGUGCAAGUGUGUGUGAGGAAUCUAUACACUCUUCUGUGAUUACAAAUAUUCGGUCCAGGCGGAAGCAUAUAAUUAAAGAGAGAAAAAAAAAAGCGGUUUGCUGUAUAGUAUGAAUUUAACCCCUUUGUAAGGGAAAAAAUAUACUGGGGGGAAAAGUUUAAAAAUAGAAGCGUCUUGGCACAGACUAUUGGAGCGUGUCGACCUAGGAUUUUAAUAGUGUGUGUGUUUUUUUAGGUACAGCGGUGCAGCAAGUCCUCUAUGGAGUUAACAAUGCAUGCAUUCUUUCGUUCUAAUUCUAAGGCUUAUUCAUAAAUAAUUCCUACAUCCGUCUUAUUUGGAUUAUAUGCUGCUGUGUGUUUGAAUGUAUGUGCCAGGAUUCGUCACAUACGACUGUUUUUUCAUUGGUGUACAUAUUAUUCCCCCAAAUAUCUAGAUUUUUUUUAGCAAGACUGUUUCGAAAUUCAAUUCACACAAACUAUGCCAGGCUUUUGAUGACUUCAUCUGCCAUUACCAGCACGACUAGUAUGUGUGAAACAGAGCUUCGGUCUUUCAGUUCGAACGAUGAAAAGAAAGAAUCUAUCAAAAGCAGAAUUGAUGAGAGUUUAGCUUGGCUGCCAAUUGGCAUUCGUUGUAGAUACAGCCGAUGCUUGGUAUAUCAAUCACACCAAAAGUCAAGACAGAAAUAAAUGAAACUUUGUAGUUUCAAAAUGCUUCAUCAGCUUCAAUGUAUCACUAAGUAUGGCGAACUCUUAAUUCAUGUCUCAUUAGCUCAAGAAUAUGAAAUAAAAACAAAUAAAAGUUUAUGACUGUCUGUAA